AACUGAUACUACCUGCGGGAACCUGCGGAAGGAUCAUUAAUGAACACUAGGGUGCUCUUUUAACAAGAGGCCCGACCUUCAUCCUUCUACACUGUGCACCAUUAUUCAAUUCGGUCGGCUGGUAGUUUGGCCCGUCUCUCGGGCCUUACGACGCUGCCGCCGAGUUGUUUCACUUUUAAACUCUACAAGUCUAAGAAUGUAACAAACCUGAAACAAAAGAAAAACUUUUAACAACGGAUC
rnacentral:misc_RNA from 1 species